AGGACAAACGCUGGCGGCGUGCCUAAGACAUGCAAGUCGAACGGGGGGCUUUGGCCCCUAGUGGCGGACGGGUGAGGAACGCGUGGAGAACCUGCCCCGGGGUGGGGGAUACCCGCCAGAAAUGGCGGUUAAGACCGCAUACGAAUGUCUCGUGCAGGCGAGAUCGGGAAAGCAGCGAUGUGCCCUGGGAGGGCUCCGCGUCGGAUUAGCUAGUUGGUGGGGUAAUGGCCUACCAAGGCGGUGAUCGGUAGCUGGUCUGAGAGGAUGGUCAGCCACACUGGGACUGCGAACGGCCCAGACUCCUACGGGAGGCAGCAGUUAGGAAUUUUCGGCAAUGGACGAAAGUCUGACCGAGCGACGCCGCGUGGAGGAUGACGCCUUUCGGGGUGUAAACUCCUUUCUGCGGAAGAUAAUGACGGUACCGCAGGAAUAAGCACCGGCUAACUACGUGCCAGCAGCCGC
rnacentral:rRNA from 1 species